GGUUACUGCUAUCGGUGUUCGCCUAAGCCAUGCGAGUCAUAUGUAGCAAUACAUGGCGUACUGCUCAGUAACACGUGGAUAACCUGCCCUUGGGUCCGGCAUAACCCCGGGAAACUGGGGAUAAUUCCGGAUAACGCACAUAUGCUGGAAUGCUUUUUGCGUAAAAUGGAUUCGUCUGCCCAAGGAUGGGUCUGCGGCCUAUCAGGUAGUAGUGGGUGUAAUGUACCUACUAGCCUACGACGGGUACGGGUUGUGAGAGCAAGAGCCCGGAGAUGGAUUCUGAGACAUGAAUCCAGGCCCUACGGGGCGCAGCAGGCGCGAAAACUUUACAAUGCGGGAAACCGUGAUAAGGGGACACCGAGUGCCAGCAUCAUAUGCUGGCUGUCCGGGUGUGUAAAAUACACCUGUUAGCAAGGGCCGGGCAAGACCGGUGCCAGCCGCCGCGGUAACACCGGCGGCCCGAGUGGUGAUCGUGAUUAUUGGGUCUAAAGGGUCCGUAGCCGGUUUAGUCAGUCCUCCGGGAAAUCUGACGGCUUAACCGUUAGGCUUUCGGGGGAUACUGCCAGACUUGGAACCGGGAGAGGUAGGAGGUACUACAGGGGUAGGAGUGAAAUCUUGUAAUCCCUGUGGGACCACCUGUGGCGAAGGCGUCUUACCAGAACGGGUUCGACGGUGAGGGACGAAAGCUGGGGGCACGAACCGGAUUAGAUACCCGGGUAGUCCCAGCCGUAAACGAUGCUCGCUAGGUGUCAGGCAUGGCGCGACCGUGUCUGGUGCCGCAGGGAAGCCGUGAAGCGAGCCACCUGGGAAGUACGGCCGCAAGGCUGAAACUUAA
rnacentral:rRNA from 1 species